AUUGAACGCUGGCGGCGUGCCUAACACAUGCAAGUCGAGCGGUAACAGGUGUAGCAAUACAUGCUGACGAGCGGCGGACGGGUGAGUAACGCUUGGGAAUCUGCCUGGUUAGUGGGGGACAACCCGGGGAAACUCGGGCUAAUACCGCAUACGCACUACGGUGGAAAGCCGGGGACCGCAAGGCCUGGCGCUAACAGAUGAGCCCAAGUCGGAUUAGCUAGUUGGUAGGUAACGGCCUACCAAGGCGACGAUCCGUAACUGGUCUGAGAGGACGACCAGUCACACCGGAACUGAGACACGGUCCGGACUCCUACGGGAGGCAGCAGUGGGAAUAUUGGACAAUGGGCGAAAGCCUGAUCCAGCGACGCCGCGUGGGUGAAGAAGGCCUGCGGGUUGUAAAGCCCUUUC
rnacentral:rRNA from 1 species